GCCCUUCGGGGUGGAUCAGUGGCGAACGGGUGAGUAACACGUGGGCAAUCUGCCCUGCACUCUGGGACAAGCCCUGGAAACGGGGUCUAAUACCGGAUAUGACCUUCCUCCGCAUGGGGGUGGGUGUAAAGCUCCGGCGGUGCAGGAUGAGCCCGCGGCCUAUCAGCUUGUUGGUGGGGUAAUGGCCCACCAAGGCGACGACGGGUAGCCGGCCUGAGAGGGCGACCGGCCACACUGGGACUGAGACACGGCCCAGACUCCUACGGGAGGCAGCAGUGGGGAAUAUUGCACAAUGGGCGAAAGCCUGAUGCAGCGACGCCGCGUGAGGGAUGACGGCCUUCGGGUUGUAAACCUCUUUCAGCAGGGAAGAAGCGCAAGUGACGGUACCUGCAGAAGAAGCACCGGCUAACUACGUGCCAGCAGCCGCGGUAAUACGUAGGGUGCGAGCGUUGUCCGGAAUUAUUGGGCGUAAAGAGCUCGUAGGCGGCCUGUCGCGUCGGAUGUGAAAGCCCGGGGCUUAACCCCGGGUCUGCAUUCGAUACGGGCAGGCUGGAGUGUGGUAGGGGAGAUCGGAAUUCCUGGUGUAGCGGUGAAAUG
rnacentral:rRNA from 1 species